rnacentral:rRNA from 1 species
UUGAACGCUGGCGGCAUGCUUUACACAUGCAAGUCGCACGGUAACAGGCCUUCGGGUGCUGACGAGUGGCGAACGGGUGAGUAAUGCAUCGGAACGUACCCAGAGGUGGGGGAUAACGCAGCGAAAGCUGUGCUAAUACCGCAUGUGAUCUGAGGAUGAAAGCGGGGGACCGAGCAGCAAUGUUUGGCCUCGCGCCUUUGGAGCGGCCGAUGUCGGAUUAGCUAGUUGGUGGGGUAAAGGCCUACCAAGGCGACGAUCCGUAGCUGGUCUGAGAGGACGACCAGCCACACUGGGACUGAGACACGGCCCAGACUCCUACGGGAGGCAGCAGUGGGGAAUUUUGGACAAAGGGCGCAAGCCUGAUCCAGCAAUGCCGCGUGCGGGAAGAAGGCCUUCGGGUUGUAAACCGCUUUUGGCAGGAACGAAACGGUGUCCGCUAAUACCGGGCGCUAAUGACGGUACCUGCAGAAUAAGCACCGGCUAACUACGUG